GGGCAACCCUUCAAUGAAAAAUUAAACAUUAGGUACAUACAUGUAGAGGGGAAGUACCUCAGUUAAAAAAGGAUGAUAACAAUAACUGGUGAGAAGUCUGCAGCAAUUUGUGAGCAUCAAAUCCAACAGUUUGUUAACUAUUAUUCCUAAAAAACAAGAACACAUCUCAAAACAUACAGCUCCGUUGAAACUAGAUACGAGUUUUACUCCUUUCACUAAGAAACUGCCUUGUGUUAGGAUUGAACUAGUAUCACCCUUCCAAUUUCAAGGUUAAAAAUAAAAGUAACUGACAGGAUUAUUCUCCAGUAAUUUUGAUACACAUGGUGUCCCGACAUGACAUGUGAAGAUUUUAUUUUCUCUAGUCUAUAAUGCCAUCAAGCAGUCAUUUUUCUCAUGAGGAACACUUAUUUUGAGGACACUGGAGUGUGAAUAAAACAAGUUUAGGUUAUACAUAUACUAUAUAUAUACAUAUAAUGUAACGAGCACGUCAGACCUCUCUUUAUUUACAGACUUAGUUGUAGUAACAUAGUGAUUAGUGAGCACAGCCAAAAGGGAUUAUCACAUCAGGUGAAUGAGUUAUACAUCCCUGUUCUUAUCCAGUCUGUUCUCAUAAACUAGACAUCCUACCACAUAGCUUGGCUCAUGCAAUUCACUCAUUAGUAUCACCAGUGUUUGAACAUAUCCUGAUCCAUUAAUUCAAUAGUAAGGGUCAGGCUAUGUACAUGUUCAGUUCCUUAUAAAUAAGUAUUGCACAGUUGCCUUUUACAGUGUUUACUCACAGUCUGUUCAGCUGACAUGGUGGCCAUGACUUUUGGGACAUUUUAUUUACAUUAUUAGUUAUAGCAGAGAAGCUGCUAUGAUGCAUGUCUUUUUCAUGCUAUUAUUAGGUCCUCUUGGCUCGUCAUGUUAUCAUUGUAUAAAAAAAAAACAAUUCAUACACACUAAAAAAGGAUUUCUGUAGUAUGGAAUAUUUGUUCUGUACAACAUUAUAAUAAAUUUAACAAAUAUACAUUGUUAUCUACAUAGAAAACAGAAAACUAUCUAAAAUGUGGCAAUAUAGUAAUGACUGCACUUCACAUCUUAAUCUCACAUAUUUUAUUCAAGUUUCAGAAAAUGGAUAUGAACUGUUUAUAAAAUAUGUAUUUCCCUGAAGGAUUACUUUAUAAUCAUUUCAACAGAAUAUGUGUGUGUGUGUGUGUGUGUGUGUGUGUGUGUGUGUGUGUGUGUGUGUGUGUGUGUGUGUGUGUGUGUGUGUGUGUGUGUGUGUGUGUGUGUGUGUGUGUGUGUGUGUGUGUGUGUGUGUGUGUGUGUGUGUGUGUGUGUGUGUGUGAUUACCUAGUUGUGUCAUGCUGGAAAGGAGCUAUGCUAAUACUGUCCUGCCUCUGUAUCUGUUGUGGUUUAACUUGGCAGUGAAAUUAUGAAUAAUACACAGUUCCAUGCAUCAACUACUUUUUGUAGAAAACUAUUUUUUCAUCUCUUGUCUACAGAUUUCCUUUUUAACUUUCAUCUGUGUCCUGUGGUGUCUCUUGUAUCUUGCCUCACAAUUUUGUUGCUGUCCAGCUUCUCCAAUCUUUUCAUUAGUCUACACAUAUAUGGUGGCCUAUCACUAUUAAGUCCCAUGUGUGUGUGUGUGUGUGUGUGUGUGUGUGUGUGUGUGUGUGUGUGUGUGUGUGUGUGUGUGUUAUACAGGAAAAUGACUGUUCCUGUCUACUGAUAUCCAACAUGGCUUUGAAUUCAAGAAUAUUCCUUGCAUGGACAUUCAUACCUGUGUUUCAGAUUUUUCUACUUUAGUAAUGGAAGUAAUUUUGUUUCUUUAACUUGCAGUUAAUCUUUUUUCCAAGGCUCAUUAUCUUGAGUAUCAUGUAAAUAAGCUUUCUUUAUCCACAUUCAUUUCUUCCAAAGUCCUUUGAAUUAUAACUAGAUCUCUCCUUUCUCUUUUCUUAAAGUACUAAAAAUUUCAAUAUAUAUUAUAUUUGGUGUAUCUCUCAGGCUCAGUGCCAUUGUAAUGACUGCUUUUUGUGUACUUUGUAUUGUUUUGGGAGCAAGGAAGAGUAUUUAGAAAAACGAGUUACUGUUGGAAAAUAGAAAUUUCAUCAUUACAAUUGCUGUGUUGAUCAUAAAGGUAUCAUCCUAUCAUCGGAAGCUCACUCAAAUUUCCAACCACAGGUGCAAAGAAGAGGUUGAUGAUGUAUAUAUCGUUGAUCCUCUAGGUCAGGUCAGAGGUUGUAACUGUUAUAUUCAGAUUGAAUUAACUUUUGGCUUGGAAUCAGAAUCAAGCAUGAGAAGAUAAUAUUGCUAAUAUUUAAUGGCCUUUCAGUGUGUGUGUGUGUGUGUGUGUGUGUGUGUGUGUGUGUGUGUGUGUGUGUGUGUGUGUGUGUGUGUGUGUCUGCGCACGUGCAUAUUGAACUAGUCAUCCUGUCCUGUCUAUAUAUCUAUAAUCAUCCAACUCGCCUUAAAUUAAUAAAUAUCCCUUGCUUGAGCCACCAUUCA